AUGGCCAGCGCCGCCGGCGAGUCGGGAGCCAUCCCUGCCGUGGCCUUGGAGGAAGGGUUACGUUACGGGCCUAGAGGAAGGGGAGAGCUCCCGCAUGGUGGCGGCUCUCCUGCACAGCCCGCUGAAGCGACGGUAGCAGCUGUGUGGCCCAUGUGGCGCAUGGCGUUCGGGUCGGCAUCGGAGAAGGGGCUGCUCCUGUUCUUCUGCGCCUGGGCCGACGGCUCGCCCAUGCACUUCUUUGUCGUCUUCGACGGCCACGGCGGCCUCAAGGUGUCGGUGUUGUGCAGAGAACAGAUGCACGCCAUCAUGGUGGAGGAGCUGGCCGGCCGAGGAAAUGACGAAGAGUCGGAGUGUCGUGCAUGGGAGGCGGUGCUGAACCGGAGCUUCGAGCUGGCGUAUGCACUGGGGAUGGGGCUGACGAAGAGGCGGACGCACUGCCGUGGUGGCGCUUCUGGCCCGUGGCAGCAUCCUGGUGGCCAACUGCGGCGACUCCCGUGCCGGUGA
rnacentral:rRNA from 1 species